rnacentral:rRNA from 1 species
AUUGAACGCUGGCGGCAUGCCUUACACAUGCAAGUCGAACGGCAGCACGGGAGCAAUCCUGGUGGCGAGUGGCGAACGGGUGAGUAAUAUAUCGGAACGUGCCCAGUCGUGGGGGAUAACGUAGCGAAAGCUACGCUAAUACCGCAUACGAUCUAUGGAUGAAAGCGGGGGGAUCGCAAGACCUCGCGCGAUUGGAGCGGCCGAUAUCAGAUUAGGUAGUUGGUGAGGUAAAGGCUCGCCAAGCCGACGAUCUGUAGCUGGUCUGAGAGGACGACCAGCCACACUGGGACUGAGACACGGCCCAGACUCCUACGGGAGGCAGCAGUGGGGAAUUUUUGGACAAUGGGCGCAAGCCUGAUCCAGCAAUGCCGCGUGCAGGAUGAAGGCCUGGUUGUAAC